rnacentral:rRNA from 1 species
GAGUUUGAUCAUGGCUCAGGAUGAACGCUGGCGGCGUGCCUAACACAUGCAAGUCGGACGAUCCGCAAGGAUAGUGGCGCACGGGUGAGUAACACGUAGCUAACCUGCCCCGAAGCGUGGGAUAACGUUGCGAAAGCAACGCUAAGACCGCGUAAGCUCACGGCCUGUAGAGGGCAGCGAGAAAAAACUUCGGUUGCUUCGGGAGGGGGCUGCGACCCAUCAGGUAGAUGGCGCGGUAACGGCGCACCAUGCCAACGACGGGUAGGGGACCUGAGAGGGUGACCCCCCACACUGGGACUGAGACACGGCCCAGACUCCUACGGGAGGCAGCAGUGAGGGAUAUUGCACAAUGGGCGCAAGCCUGAUGCAGCGACGCCGCGUGGGUGAUGACGGUUUUCGGACUGUAAAACCCUUUUCUAGGUGACGAGCAAGGACGGUAGCCUAGGAAUAAGUGUCGGCUAACUACGUGCCAGCCGCCGCAGU